GUGUAUAUUUAAUGCUAGCUUUAGCUUGGAGCAUGGAGUGGGUCCAUAGCACUGUCUCCUGUCUCAAUCUGUCUGUGUUGUAGUCAAUACUGUCCUCAUUUCAUACGGAAGACCACCUUUUUCUGUCUUUAAUUUACUCUUUCUGUCUCUCAGUUUUAACUGUCUGCCUCUGUCUUUCUCUCCUCUUCUUCUCUCUCUCUCUCUACAUCUCUGUCUUUCUCUCCAUCUCUUCUUCUGUCUCUCUCUCCAUCUCUGUCUCUCUCUCCAUCUCUGUCUCCAUCUCUGUCUCUCUCCAUCUCUGUCUCCAUCUCUGUCUCUCUCCAUCUCUGUCUCCAUCUCUGUCUCCAUCUCUGUCUCUCUCCAUCUCUGUCUCUCUCUCCAUCGCUGUCUCCAUCUCUGUCUCUCUCCAUCUCUCUCUCAAUCUCUGUCUCUCUCUCCAUCUCUGUCUCUCUCCAUCUCUGUCUCUCUCUCCAUCUCUCUCUCAAUCUCUGUCUCCAUCUCUGUCUCUCUCUCAAUCUCUGUCUCCAUCUCUGUCUCCAUCUCUGUCUCUCUCCAUCUCUCUCUCCAUCUCUGUCUCCAUCUCUGUCUCCAUCUCUGUCUCUCUCUCCAUCUCUGUCUCCAUCUCUGUCUCUCCGUCUCCAAUCUCUCUCUCCAUCUCUGUCUCUCUCUCCAUCUCUGUCUCCAUCUCUGUCUCUGUCUCCAUCUCUGUCUCCAUCUCUCUCUCUCCAUCUCUGUCUCCCAUCUCUGUCUCUCUCCAUCUCUCUCUCCAUCUCUGUCUCCAUCUCUGUCUCCAUCUCUGUCUCUCUCUCCAUUUCUGUCUCCAUCUGUCUCCAUCUCUGUCUCCAUCUCUGUCUCUCUCUCCAUCUCUGUCUCUCUCUCCAUCUCUGUCUCUCUCUCCAUCUCUGUCUCCAUCUCUGUCUCUCCGUCUCUGUCUCCAUCUCUGUCUCCAUCUCUGUCUCUCCAUCUCUGUCUCCAUCUCUGUCUCCAUCUCUGUCUCUCCGUCUCUGUCUCCAAUCUCUGUCUCCAUCUCUGUCUCUCUCUCCAUCUCUGUCUCUCCGUCUCUGUCUCCAUCUCUGUCUCCAUCUCUGUCUCCAUCUCUGUCUCUCUCCAUCUCUGUCUCCAUCUCUCUCUCCGUCUCUCUCUCCAUCUCUGUCUCUCUCCAUCUCUGUCUCCAUCUCUGUCUCUCCGUCUCUGUCUCCAUCUCUCUCUCCAUCUCCAAUCUCUGUCUCCAUCUCCGUCUCCAAUCUCUGUCUCUGCUACUCUCUGGUCUCUGUGGGCCAUUUCCAAUUUGAAAUUGCGAACUAAAAAACGACUAAUGGAGACACGAGGAUUAAAAAAAAAAAACAGUUUAUGCGCUCAGACG
rnacentral:lncRNA from 1 species